UCCUGGCUUAGGAUGAACGCUAGCGGCAGGCCUAACACAUGCAAGUCGAGGGGCAGGCGAGGGGGUAGCAACUACCCCGCUGGCGACCGGCGGACGGGUGCGUAACGCGUAUGCAACCUACCCGUAACAGGGGAAUAACGGAGGGAAACCUCCACUAAUGCCCCAUAUAGUCAGGGGACCGCAUGGUUUCGUGACGAAAGCUUCGGUGGUUACGGACGGGCAUGCGUGGCAUUAGGCGGUUGGCGGGGUAACGGCCCACCAAACCUACGAUGCCUAGGGGAGCUGAGAGGCUAAUCCCCCACACUGGUACUGAGACACGGACCAGACUCCUACGGGAGGCAGCAGUGAGGAAUAUUGGUCAAUGGACGGAAGUCUGAACCAGCCAUGCCGCGUGAAGGAAGACGGCCCUAUGGGUUGUAAACUUCUUUUAGCCGGGAGUAAUAAGGCGCACGUGCUGCGCCGAUGAAAGUACCGGCGGAAUAAGCAUCGGCUAACUCCGUGCCAGCAGCCGC
rnacentral:rRNA from 1 species